UAGGGAAUCUUCCACAAUGGGCGAAAGCCUGAUGGAGCAACGCCGCGUGUGUGAUGAAGGCUUUCGGGUCGUAAAGCACUGUUGUAUGGGAAGAACAGCUAGAAUAGGAAAUGAUUUUAGUUUGACGGUACCAUACCAGAAAGGGCGGCUAAAUACGUGUCAG
rnacentral:rRNA from 1 species